rnacentral:rRNA from 1 species
UACGUAGGUGGCAAGCGUUGUCCGGAUUUACUGGGCGUAAAGGGCUUGUAGGCGGUUCGUUAAGUCCGGUGUGAAAUCUCCCGGCUCAACCGGGAUAGGUCACUGGAUACUGGCGGACUAGAGGGGGGUAGAGGAGAGCAGAAUUCCUGGUGUAGCGGUGAAAUGCGUAGAUAUCAGGAGGAAUACCAGUGGCGAAGGCGGCUCUCUGGGCCUACCCUGACGCUGAGGAGCGAAAGCGUGGGGAGCAAAC